CCUACGGGAGGCUGCAGUGGGGAAUAUUGGACAAUGGGGGGAACCCUGAUCCAGCCAUGCCGCGUGUGUGAAGAAGGCCCUCGGGUUGUAAAGCACUUUCAGUGAGGAAGAACGCCUGGUGGUUAAUACCCAUCAGGAAAGACAUCACUCACAGAAGAAGCACCGGCUAACUCCGUGCCAGCAGCCGCGGUAAUACGGAGGGUGCGAGCGUUAAUCGGAAUUACUGGGCGUAAAGCGCGCGUAGGUGGCUUGAUAAGCCGGUUGUGAAAGCCCCGGGCUCAACCUGGGAACGGCAUCCGGAACUGUCAAGCUAGAGUGCAGGAGAGGAAGGUAGAAUUCCCGGUGUAGCGGUGAAAUGCGUAGAGAUCGGGAGGAAUACCAGUGGCGAAGGCGGCCUUCUGGACUGAAACUGACACUGAGGUGCGAAAGCGUGGGUAGCAAACAGGAUUAGAUACCCGGGUAGUC
rnacentral:rRNA from 1 species